rnacentral:rRNA from 1 species
AACAUAGUAUGGUGAGCCCCCAUGCCAAAUACUACCUGCCCACUGCCCACAAGUCAAGGGCCGUACCUAUCCUACGCUAAGGUAGCAUAUAAUAUGCCUCCUAAUUAGAGGACAGAAUGAAUGGAAAACCAAAACAUAUAAAUAUCUCACGCACACAAAAUAAAAUUUAUAACGAGGUGAAAAAGCCUCACUAAACUUAAAAGACAAAAAGUCCCUAAAAGCUAAACACGUAAAAGCCCUGCCCCCACGGAAUUUGUUGGGACAACUCACCAAUAACAAAUACAAAGAACAGCUAUCACAGCUCCCACCCCCAACAUAACUCCAAAAGCUACUUUAGGGAUAACAGGCUAAUAGAAUUUUUAGAGCCCACAUCUACAAAUUUGUUUGGCACCUCGAUGUUGGCUUCGGAUUAUAUCUUAUUGUAGAAAAUAAGACAAUGGGUUUGUUCAACCCUUAAUAUCCUACAUGAUCUG